rnacentral:rRNA from 1 species
AACGAACGCUGGCGGCAUGCCUAACACAUGCAAGUCGAACGAGACCUUCGGGUCUAGUGGCGCACGGGUGCGUAACGCGGGGGAACCUGCCCUUAGGUUCGGAAUAACUCCCCGAAAGGGGUGCUAAUACCGGAUAAUGUCUUCGGACCAAAGAUUUAUCGCCUUUGGAUGGGCCCGCGUUGGAUUAGCUAGUUGGUAGGGUAAAAGCCUACCAAGGCGACGAUCCAUAGCUGGUCUGAGAAGAUGAUCAGCCACACUGGGACUGAGGCCCGGCCCAGACUGCGAGGGAGGAGUGGAGAUGGGUGAAUUAGGGGAGGGGGCCAAAUCCAGCACCGCCACGUCCGGGAUGUCGUGCAUGGCUUUGUGUUGUGAAGCCCCCUUUGCCGAGGUGAGAAUGACCGUAACGGGAAAAUAAGCUCCGGCUAACUCCGUG